rfam:Hymenolepis nana genome assembly, scaffold: HNAJ_scaffold0000267
GCCCGGAUAGCUCAGUCGGUAGAACAUCAGACUUUUAAUCUGAAGGUCCAGGGUUCGAGUCCCUGUUUGGGCG